UGCUAGCCAGCUUGCUAAGGGGCUAGGAGCUAAUACUAUUAGAGCUAAUAAUGGGAUAAAGGUUAGGCUAACUGUGGCUGUGCUACAAUGUCUGGGUUUAAGGGUUAACAAACUAAAUAAGGUGACUCUGUUUUCACAUCAGCAUUCAUAAAAAACAAGCUGAGACUGAGUCAGGAUGUUGGACGGGUGUCAACAAGUCAGCUGAGCUCACUAGUCUGGGCUCCUUGGUGAAGCUAGUUGCUGUGUUGUGAUUGUGUUAGCAUGCUAAACCCAAACACAGCAUACACAUAUUUGCCUUAGAUUGUAUUUCUACCAAACUGUGGGAUCAUUUUACACUGAGUUACACUGAAGUAAACUUAAAAAACAUGUUGCAACAACACAUAAACAGUUUAACAUUACAAGACUGUGUUGUUGCAGGACACCUGUACAACAAGCUACAGGUGUCCUGCAAGUUGAAACUGACCUCCAACAUUUGGUACAAAGAGGUAAAACUGCAGCUGGCUCACUGACAAUGAGUACAAGGUCCUUUUAAACUUGCACAUCUACACAAAUACCUGUGCAUUAGUUAUUAUUGGUGGCAUAAACAAGUUAAAUGUAGCAUAUAACAAGCAUUUGAUGAUGCUUUCUGUUGUAACCAUCGGACAUGACUCAUACUGCAGCUUUAGAUGAUGCACAUUGUGAUAAAGUGACACACGCAUUGAUUGUAUCUGUGACCUCCUGUGACUGAGGCUGGAGAGACAUUUGUCUUGUGCAAAACUUUGUGCAACUUUGCAGGAAUUUCUCAAAACUGGCGGUUAGUGGUGGAGCAAUUUUUCAUUGGCUAAUCACAAGAGGGCAACUUUUUUUUGUUGUUGCAGCAUAUCGUGCAAUGUUUUCACAGUUUCAUGGCUUUGUUUGGAGUUGUGAUGGCUCUCAUGACAUUUUGCACACAUGCUCUUUCAGGUCAGCUCUCUCUCUCUCUCUGGUGACCAAUCAAAUUUCUCGUGAGACUAUGGCAGUCUGCUCUGUUUGGUCAAGUUAUUUUAAUUUUCACAAGUAAAAAAAAAAAAAAAAAAAAGAAAAGCUUUUUCAACAGGAUUUCAAGUUUUGGUUUAAUUUGAUACAUAUCUCCACUGGAGCUGAAACAAGUAAUCAAUUAGUUGAUCAGCUUCUCCUUUGUGAGGGAUUUUCUGCUUUUCUGUGUUUCAUAUCUUUAUAAACUGAAUAUAUUUAUGUUUUGGUCACCUUGGGCUUUAGGAAAAUGCCAGGCAUUUUUCACAAUUUUUAGACAUUUAAAAGAACAAACCGCUAAUCAACUAAUCAAGAAAACAACUGGUAUAUUAAAUGAAAAUGAACAUUAUUGUUAAAGAAACACAGAGUUACGAUGAAAAUCUCAAUAGCACAAGAAACUGGUGUAACCUUUACCAGGCAGGAGCUCUUAUACUACCAGUGUUGAUGUAAGCAAACCACUAGUGCAUAUGUCAUUGUGCAUUCAUAUUCAAGAUAAGACAAUGUCGUGACAGAAAAGUUCACAGUUUGUCAAAUUGGAUCUCAGUGUGCUGUGGGCAUCAGAUACCAGGCCUGGUGUCUGAGGAGGAAGUUGUUUUUUUUUGGGUUGGAACAUAACCUAAAUCUUCCUUCAAAAACACUAAAGAGAUGAAAAACAUGCUCCGCCAGCCAGUGACACAGAAGAGGGAGUGAAUGGUUGCGUGGGUGGUUCCUCCUUCCUCAGUCAUAAGACCGCUGCACCCAUUUCCACUUAGCUUCAUCAGGUGACUCCGGCAAGUCAUGUGCUGUGAAAUGUGCAUUCAGCAGACAGUGCGGGUUUACGGAGGAGCGCAGGGAGUAGGAAUAGACGCAGCUUGUGAGUUUUUUAUGUUAAAGGGGAAUGCCACAGAUUGAGUGUGUUGAAAGUAGAUUUUUUUUUCUUCCCACUUCAGUUUGCAGUAAUAAGCACUCACAAAAGCCAGAACAUGUGGAGAUAUAGUGAUUGGCUUGUUUGUCAUUUUGGUGUCAAAUCAUUUAUUCAGUGUGUGUUUUUUUUAGUUUUAAGCGAACAUUUAGUUGAGAUACCAGCCGCUGUCUUUUCACAGGUUUGGACAUACAUAUAUAUAUUUUUAUUUAACCUUUAUUUAAGCAGGUAGUACUCAUUGAGAUUAAGAAUCUCUUUUGCAAGAGAGACCUGGCCCAAGACAGCAGCAUUUAAACAAACAUUAAAGUUUUCAGACGCCACAACAUAAAACAAAUGCCAAAUAAAUACAUAGCAUAAUAUCAUACAAAACACAUUAAAAUCAAGUGUUUGAAGCAAAACGUUAAAGUGAGAAUAAUCAGAAACACACACAGCUCCCGAUUGACUCUGCUUCUAGGUC